rnacentral:rRNA from 1 species
UGGGGAAUCUUGGACAAUGGGCACAAGCCUGAUCCAGCCAUGCCGCGUGAGUGAAGAAGGCCUUCGGGUUGUAAAGCUCUUUUGUCAGGGACGAUAAUGACGGUACCUGAAGAAUAAGCCCCGGCAAACUUCGUGCCAGCAGCCGCGGUAAUACGAAGGGGGCUAGCGUUGUUCGGAAUUACUGGGCGUAAAGCGCACGUAGGCUGAUUGUUAAGUCAGGGGUGAAAUCCCAGAGCUCAACUCUGGAACUGCCCUUGAUACUGGCAAUCUCGAGUCCGGAAGAGGUUAGUGGAAUUCCCAUUGUAGAGGUGAAAUUCGUAGAUAUUCGGAAGAACACCAGUGGCGAAGGCGACUCACUGGACAAGUAUUGACGCUGAGGUACGAAAGCGUGGGGAGCAAACAGGAUUAGAUACCCCAGUAGUCCCUGAGCGGGCUGGCAAGGCGCAU